ACGAGCGGGCACACCGACACACCCGCUUGUGAGUGCGUUUCGAGCCGCUUUUCUCAUCUUUUAGUUGUGGCUCUGCUUUUUUUUUCUCGUUCGGACUCUUGCAAGAUGCUUGGCGGCUUUACCAACUACGCCCACCUCCGGCUGCGGGAUCACCGACCGGGCAACGGUGAUUACGAGCUCCCCCCAGGAUUCGGCCCCAACUCGAGCUCCUCAAAGCGCUCCAUCUUGGCGCGCCACUACUUACCGACGGGUGGUGAGUUAUGCAGCGUCGGGCCUGGAGCCUAUGCGCUCCCCACAACCGUCGGCACAGGCCGCUCAACUCGCUUUGCCCCGAUGUCGAGUGACCGCAGCGGGCCUGCGGCGAAGGCGUCGGCUGGCCAGUGCUCCAGCGAUCGGCCUCUUGCCGUCGCCGCCGAUCCAAAGCAGUACAGCAUGGCCCUCUGCCCCGACACACCCUCCUAUAGUCUCUGCGGCCGUCUCAAGUCCGAGUGGGAUAAGCAGAGCGCAGCUGCUUCUCCUGGCCCUGCCGCCUACGAUGUGCCCGGAUACUUCGACACGCUGGACCCCCAGCAGCAACAACGGCAUCUCUGGUCGGGUCCCGUACCCGGCGUCCACUUGGGCAUUCGCACAGUACUGCCAGAGUCACGCGAGAAGGCGGGCAUGCCGGGCCCCGGCGCAUACCACCUCGUGCGGUUUGGCGACGAGCUGCCCAGAACCCGCGAACCCCUUAUCACUCGAAGCAGUCGUCGCGGCCGCGGUGCCGCCGCCGACACGCCUGGCCCUGGCGCGUACGACGAUCCAACGUCCAUCGCCUACCGCGCCGACCAAGUGCGGAGGAAGCGCCUCUUUACACAAUGCUCCACGUUUGGUGGCCGCUGGUGUAGGCGGGAGUUUCACACAGCCGGGCCCGGCCCCGCUGCGUACAAUACUGUCGCCGCAACAAAGCUGCUGGAGAAGAACCAACGACACGCCCCCAGGCUCGUGCGGCGCCAGCCACCGCUGGAUCGACAAUCCGUCGCGGAGGCUGCUGCUGCGCGCAUGAAGGUGCCCGGUGCCCCCACCCCGCAGGCUUUCCCUAGCCUCCCCUCAGAUUUCGACUUCGACUUCAGGAAAGGCAAGACGAUCGGCGGUAGGCUUCACGAGCCGCUGGCACGGACGGCGCCUUCUCACUUGACACAGGCAGCGGACGACAAGCCGAGUGGCAGCCGUGCCUUCUGGGAGUCCCCGCCGCCGCCGGGCGGCCGCUUUGCAGCAACGCCGUUUGACCCGCAGUCGCACAGUCUUGCCGCCGAGAAGGCGGGCACCAAUGCGGCACGUCUUUCGGAAGCGGCGAACUGCAAGCCGGGGCCAGGGUCGUACAAUGUGGACGUGGACCCGACGGCUCGCCGCGUUCCGGCCUCGCUGUUUGGCCGAACGCUGAGCGCCAAGUCUGUCUCUGCUGAAAAUGGUGUGCCGGGCCCGGGUCAUUACCGCAUCGUGGACGAAACGGGUAGUGGAGGCACCAUCUUCUACAAGGGCGACUUCCACCCGCGCGGUUGUAGCGGCCAGGGCGGGUCCGCGGCGGAGAGCCUUGGCGUCGGCCCAGGCGCGCACUACAACGACGACACCAUGUACAGUAACAGCAUCAAUGGCGACCGCGCCCACAACAAAGGCUUUACGAUGGGCAUCCGCUACCCGGCCAGGGCCACCUAUCAGCACUGCGCCCCGUACGACGAGACGACGAACAUCAACUGCGUCUACGACGACGAGCUGAACUGGGUGGUACGGCCCAACCAACACCUGCCACUGAUUCGCCGCGGCAAGCUUUAGCAAAGAACUGCCAUUGGCACCAUCACGCUUGUGUGCGUGUGCUGGACGAUGCGUACACGUACCUUGAACAUGUAUUAUAAGGCCAUGAUGACGAUCACCAUGUGGGUCUACUGAGGGGGAGGGGGAGUGGACGCUCGCAUUGUGCUCCCCUCUUACUGUGACCUCGUUUGUUGUUGUUUUCUGUGCUCUCCAGUGGAACGUUCGUCUCACGAGUCGUUGGACCGACGGAAAAUCAUGCUUGUCUUUGAUCAGGUGGCGGUGGUGGGGAGGGGGCAAGGGCGCGCCUCUUUUACACCUUUUUGGCUCUUGCGCGCGCACACACACACGCACACGCGUGGCGACAAACACGGGAGGGGGAAAGAGGCAGGGAGACGGAGGGAAAGCUGUUUUUCCUUUUCAUCUGUGUGUGUGUGUGCAGAGGACUGCUUCUACGGUUGCACCUCUCAAAAGCUGGUCGGCCUCGUACAUCUACAUGAAGUAAGAGGCUUUUUGCAUAGGCAAAGCAUUCGUUCCGCCCCCCCCCCCCGUGAACCGUCCCCAUCUUGCCAUGCUCGUAUCUUACCCUUCUUCCUACGCUUCUCAUUUCUGUCCCUUGCACCCCCCCCCCCCACAG
rnacentral:misc_RNA from 1 species